rnacentral:rRNA from 1 species
AACGCUGGCGGCGUGCCUAAUACAUGCAAGUCGAACGGUCUUUCUAUGGAAGCUUGCUUCCACUGAGAAGAUAGUGGCGAACGGGUGAGUAACACGUGGGUAACCUGCCCAUAAGAGGGGGAUAACAUCCGGAAACGGGUGCUAAUACCGCAUAGUUUUCUUGAUCGCAUGAUCGGGAAGGAAAGACGGCCUUUGUGCUGUCGCUUAUGGAUGGACCCGCGGCGUAUUAGUUAGUUGGUGAGGUAAUGGCUCACCAAGACGAUGAUACGUAGCCGACCUGAGAGGGUGAUCGGCCACAUUGGGACUGAGACACGGCCCAAACUCCUACGGGAGGCAGCAGUAGGGAAUCUUCCGCAAUGGACGAAAGUCUGACGGAGCAACGCCGCGUGAGUGAAAGAAGGUUUUCGGAUCGUAAAACUCUGUUGUCAGAGAAGAACAAGUUGGAGAGUAACUGCUCCAGCCUUGACGGUAUCUGACCAGAAAGCCACGGCUAACUACGUGCCAGCCGCCGC